rnacentral:rRNA from 1 species
UACAGAGGUCUCAAGCGUUGUUCGGAUUCAUUGGGCGUAAAGGGUGCGUAGGUGGCGCCGUAAGUCAGGUGUGAAAUCUCGGGGCUUAACUCCGAAACUGCAUUUGAUACUGCGGUGCUUGAGGACUGGAGAGGAGACUGGAAUUUACGGUGUAGCGGUGAAAUGCGUAGAUAUCGUAAGGAAGACCAGUGGCGAAGGCGGGUCUCUGGACAGUUCCUGACGCUGAGGCACGAAGGCCAGGGGAGCAAACGGG